rnacentral:rRNA from 1 species
UACGUAGGGGGCGAGCGUUGUCCGGAUUUACUGGGCGUAAAGCGCGUGUAGGCGGCCCGUUAAGUGGGGUGUGAAAGCCCGGGGCUCAACCCCGGGACGCCGCUUCAAACUGGCGGGCUUGAGGACGGAAGAGGGGAGUGGAAUUCCUGGUGUAGCGGUGAAAUGCGUAGAGAUCAGGAGGAACACCCGUGGCGAAGGCGGCUCCCUGGUCCGUCCCUGACGCUGAGACGCGAAAGCGUGGGGAGCGAACAGG